ACUAUAGAUCGGGUUAUCGCUUGUGAUGCUUUUUAAAGGGUAUUGCAGGAGGAAAGUCCGGACAGCACAGGGAAACGCACCACCUAACGGGUGGGAUUGCGCCAAAAGUGCGAUACAGAAAGUGCCGCAGAAAAUAACCGCCAUACUUCGGUGUGGUAAGGGUGAAAAUGUAGGGUAAGAGCCUACGCAUUAGGAUGGUAACAUCAGAAUGGGGUAAACCUUGCGUGCUGAAAUGCCAAAUAGGCGAUUGCUUGAGGGUGUCCCGCCCGAUGAUCGUGGGUUGGCAGAUCGAGGUGUCUUGCAAAAGGCAUCCCAGAUAAAUGAUAGCCGCUUCCGGGCCAUCGGAAGUACAGAAUCCGGCUUACAGAUCUGUGGUUGUU
rnacentral:RNase_P_RNA from 1 species